CUGGAUAGCACAGGAAAUGCCUGCACAUUCUGGGCCAGAUAACCUGCAAAUAAGCAUUUCUUCGGCCUCGUACCGUCCACAGCCCUCUCUCCAAGACUCUGGGGUUCUCUCAGCCUCAUAUCCCAUAUGACAAGAUGGCCUCACAGGAGUAAGGAAGUGGAUGGAGAUAGAGACUUGACACCUUGGUCAAGGCUGAGCAGCAAGGGUCUACUCCUCUCUGGCAAGUCGCCUGCCUGAACCCAGCAAGACCACAUCCACUGGACUAGGGUGACACAUCUGUCAUCAGUUAUCUGGGACAGCAGCAACAGCCCAUCCCGUGUCUCUGAUUUCUUGGUGGUCUUCUCUUCUAGCCCCCAAAUCAGGGCUUCCCCAAGCUUGGCCCAGACUCAAACAACCUGGCCACAGCUCCUAGGGUAGAGAGGAAGCCCGGCUACCCUCCAGGCUGACAGACAAUGCCUGCAACAGGAAAUUCUUCAGCAGCUUUCAAAGGCACAGUCACCAGGGGAAGGAAGUCUCGUAGGGUGAGGCCCAAGGUAGGCCUAGGCCUUCCAGAAGAUGGAAGAAAUGAGGACAGACCUGGAGCCUGGGCAGAGGGCCACCCACUGCCCACAGCCUUGCUGUAGAGUUCAGAGGGCAAAGUGAGCUGCCCUGGGCUGCUCUGAACCCAUCAGCCAAGGACAGCUGAACCAGUCACCUUCUCCACACUAAGUCACGCUGUUUCUAGUCCAGCCUACAGGGGUUGGGGAUAAUGUCUCUGACUGGCCAGCCAGCUGACACCAAGCAGUGCCUCAGCCCCAGCUCCAAGGUGAAAUUCUCUCUUCCUUUCAUACUUUAAUGACAGCAAGGAGGCACCUCCAUUUGAGUAUCCCUAAGGUCCUAUGAGCUGCUGUCUGUCGACUUUUCCUAACUGCUCUCAGAGAGACAAUAUUGAGUCUGAUGGUGACUGAUAGUGACUGGGAAAAAGUCAGGCCCACAAUCGCUCUCCAAAUCAACUGAAAUAGAGAAUCCAGGGAACUGGGGUGAAGGCUCAUGUGUGCCAUUAGAUCUAAGGCAUCCCUGGAGGGCAGGGUGUCUACUCCAUCACCACUUAACAGACAAGGAAAUGGUUAUUCAGAAAGCUCAAGGCUCAGAAAGGGACAGAGCUGGGAUGGAACCCAGCAAACACCUUAGCAAACACCUUGAGCAACUUGUCCUCCCCAAGGGUCCCCUCAGUCAUGGGGACAAAGGUGACUCCAUAGAGUCAAGACUGCCUGGCUGUUUUCUGAUCCUCCACUCAUGCCCUGUAGCGGGUCCGUCAGUAGCAUCAGUAGAGUAUCCAUGCCACGUCACGUCCCUCUUGAAAUUGGGAGGCAGGUUCCUCUCCACACCCUCCUCCCCAUGGUCUCCCAGAGAUCUUUGAAGAAUUUGAGUCCUUCAGCCUUUUUGGCCCUGCAGGAGUCCUGGUGAACUCAUUGCUGCCGGCCUCUCUCUGAGCUUUUGUCUUAGUUAGGGUUUUACUGCUGUGAACAGACACCAUGACCAAAACAGUUCUUAUAAAGGACAACAUUCAGUUGGGGCUGGCUUACAGGUUCAGAAGUUCAGUCCAUUAUCAUCAAGGUGAGAGCAGGGCAGCAUUCAGGCAGGUAUGGUGCAGACAGAGAGUUCUACAUCUUCGUCGAAGACUGCUAGUGGGAGACAGACAGCUAGGGUGAGGGUCUUAAAGCCCAUGCCCACAGUGGCACACUUCUUCCAACAGGGCCACACCUUCUAAGAGUGCCACUCCCUGGCCUGAGCCUAGGCAAACCAUCACAGCUUUGUUCACUCAUUUCAAACAUGCUCUGUAUUUUCCCAGUGGGAGAACCAGGGAAGAGGGAGCAAAACCAGAUUCUACUGGGGAUACUCGCUGCCAGUCAGACAUUCAUCCCAGAAUAAAGAACCCCACCUUUUUCUGUGGGCACCCUGGAGAUGUCUCUGUGAUGUGAGCGUAGGCCACUGGGACGUCGUCAGCUCUGAGCUCCUGGGCUGUGAUGAGCAUCCUCAGAGGGACCCUGCCCACCAUUCUAGCCACUCACUCUUCCACCCCUGACCCUGAAUCUCUGACACCUGAGGCGAGGAGAGCUCCACUAGGCCCAUCUCCGAUGUCCAGUAUGGUCAGUCUGGUGGCUAAUGGUCAGAAAAAUCAGAAGACAUAAGGUAUCUAUCUAUUCCAGUUCUUUGAUAUCUCCCAGAGGCUCAUCCCCAGGAAGGCCCCUGCAUGGACAUACUUCUAGAAGUUUCUCUUCUAACAGACAGCUCAAAUGCCCCCAGGAAAAGGAGCAGAUGAGUUGUUCUGUGUGUUUUGUGUCGUCAUGAGAAAAGGUGAUUUACAGAGGCCUCACGGCAAGGAACAGAGGCCUCCUGGGUAUUUCUCCGCUAGGAAAGAGACCGCACAGAGGAGUCCUUUUGUACCAGGUCCCACUCUUCUAAAGGCCAAGAGCGGGCAGACUGCGAUGCCUCGGCCACCUCUUGCCCUGUGGAGGAGGCUUAUUUCCUGGGAUGCUCACAGAAGUUUGUAGGAGGCUGAAGUAAAUCACAUGUUUGUAUGUGUGGCGUGGCAUGCCCGACAUAUGUAACACUCCAUCUGGUUCCUCGCUGAGAUUUGCAAACUUUAUUAUGUGUUAGGCUCUGCCCGCCCACAGAAAAGAAGGCAAAAAUGUGAGGUCAUUUCACGGAGUUCGGGUUUUGUUUCAGAUUCAUUUUAGAAAAAGCUGGCUUGCUCCAAUCUCACCCGAGUCUGUCUUUACUUGAAGCAGCACUGCAAGAAUAGCAGCAGCCUCCUCAAUGCCUUGGCUGACACAAAGGCCGACUUACCGUGUGCACACAUGCAAGACUGACUUCCCAUGUGCACACGCACUGAUGUGUGUGGAUGUGCGGCACUCACAUAUUGUGUACGUUCUAUUAGUUCAUAAACUACCAGGGGACAGUGAGCGUUGGUGAAAUUCCACUAAGCUGGUUGUGGUGGGGCACACCUUUAAUGCCAGUACUUGGGACGCACUGCUGGUGGAUCUCUGGGAGAUGGAGGCCAGCCUGGUCUACAGAGUAGGCUCCAGGCCAUCUAGGGCUACACAGAGAAACCACGUCUCAAAAACAAACCAGUCCCACUUAAUACGGCACCACGCAUGGAGAAAUUUACUCACACAGACUUUCUAUGUGCCCACUGUGUGCUAGGUAUCAAUCUUGGGAUUGGAAAUAUGGCAGUAAAUAUAGAAACCCCUGUGGCGGCCAUGUCAGUCAAGGCUUGGGACAGUAGGUACUAGUGGUGGAAAAGACAGUUUCUUUCUGACUUGCACCGGUGUGUUCAGGAACUUGCCCCUGGCCUCACAGGCCUGACCAGAAGCUGCUCAUCUGUGGGCCUGGGCAGGAAGGCAGACCUACACAAAGCUCUUUCUCACCAUAAGGACAUUGUAGUCCAGGCAUGCAAACUACUUGCUGUUAAACCCUGUGUUGGCAUCUGACUAAGCUCCACCCCCACAGUUAUCUGGCCACAGCCAAGUAGGCCUGACUCACUAAAAAGGGGGCUGCUUGGCCCUUCCUCACUCUCUUGCUCUCAUCUCUUUGCUCUCUUGCUCUUCCCCUCUUCCCCUUUAUCCCUUCUCUCCCCAUCACCCUCCCCCUCCCCUCCACGUGCUCAUGGCUGGCCUUUACUCCUCUCCUCUUCUACUCUUCUUCUCUCAUUAAACCUUCCCACGUGGAAACAUGUUGGCCUGUUGUGUUUUGUCCACACGCGAGCCAAGAAUCCUACCUCAAUACCACGUGCUUCCAGAGCAGGCAGGGAAAACCCUCAAGAUGGCAGGUCACUUGGAGAGCCAGUGUGCUAAAAGGUUGGAGAGCUGUGAAAUGGGCAAAUGUUGCCCCUGGUGCAAUGGCCAGUCUUGGUUGUCCACCUCACACACCUGCAAAGAGGUGGCCUCAGUUGCAGGGUUGCCUGGAUGAGACCGGCCUGUGGGCGUGUCUGUGGGGCAUUUUCCUAACUGCCAUUUGAUUGAGGCAGACUCAGCUCACUGUGGGCAGUGCCAUCCCUAAGCAGGUGGGUCUGGGCAGGCCAGGGGAGGCAAAUCGUAAGCAGCGUUCCUCCAUGGUCUCUGCCUCCUCCGGGUUCCUGCCUCGGGUUUCCUCGAUGGCAUACUGUGUAACUUGAAAGCCAAGUCAACACUUUGCUCCCCCAUUUGCUUUUGGCCAGUGUUUCACCACAGCAAUAGAAAAGCAAACUAUAGCACCUGGUUGUACCCUGGCAUUGUGGACAGGUCACUAAAUCUUGCAGACAUACAUGAAUGCUCUCUCUCUCUCUCUCUCUCUCUCUCUCUCUCUCUCUCACGCGCGCGCACACACACACACACACACACACACACACACACACACACACCGUAAAGAAUAAUCCUACCCACACCCGGCACCUGUGGAAUAAAUAGUAGCUGCCAGAAUUAAGUGGAGAGGUGGGGCGUACUCAUUCUAAAGGAGGCAUUCACCCGCUCUUCACUCCGGUCUCAGGUAUGCUCGCCCAGUUCCUUAGCUCACAGGAAUGCUUCAAACUCCUACACCCUCUGCCAAACAAACAGGACUCACCCUGCCAUCCAACCCCAGCUCACCUCAGGCUUUCCAGGAGAUUCUGUGGGCUGCUGGCAAGCCUGCCUUGCUUCAGCCCUCCACUCCCUGGGGCUCCCAGAGCCAGACCUCACAACCUUCUGCCUCAGACACGAAGCUGCCUCCAGCCUCGGAUGCAAGCCCUCGCCAUCCCAGAGCCCUUUACAUUUGACCUUGCUCCACCGAGGCCCAUGUGUGCCUUAACGCUCCUGGUUUGGCCUCAACUCCAACACCAACCAAAUCAACUCUUAUGCAUCUCGGCUCCGAUACCACAUCCUCCGUGAAGCCUUCCUCAAGCCCCUCACUGAAAAGGCUCUCAGUUGACCUCUCGAAGUCCAGUGACUCCCUUCAAACACCAUGGGCUUACAGUGGUGAAGGGAGGAAACCUCGACACACUGGUCACCAGAAAGGCACGGGUUCAGCUAGAAGAGCAGGCUCACUGUUCUCUCCACACUCAGCUCAGUGCCAGAGACCUGUGUCUACAGAACCUCAGGAGCAAGGAGAGCCAAGGAGAACAGACAUAAGGACUGUCCGACUCCUACUGUGAUAUAUUUAUUUUAAUAUAUAUAUUUAAUAUAUAUAUAUAUACAUA